CAUCGCAAAUAUGGCGGAGGACUCCUUGGGGAAUUCGAGCCCAGGGGUUUCAGUCGGCUCAGAUAGCCUUGACUUUGAUCCUUCGGCAGAAAUGCCCGUGCACGACUUUGACGAUGAGCGCACUCUGGAAGAGGAGGAGCUGCUGGAGGGAGAGACCAACUUCAGCAACGAGAUCGAAGACCUCAACAGGGAAGGAGAGAUGCCCAUUCAAGAGCUCCUGAGUCUCUAUGGUUAUGGCACCGGUGAGUCGCCAGAGGAAGAGGAGGAUGAGGAUGAGGAGGAUGAGGAAGAGGAUGGAGAAGAGGAAGAUGAGGAGGAUGAAGGAGAGGAACUGGAUAAUGAUGAGAGCAGCCGAAGCACUGGAGAACUGAAGAGGGUUAAGGACGAGGGUGUGAAGAUCUCGAAGGGUCUGGAGGCCCACUCGGCCGGCGAAGGACGCACUCUCACGUCUAAAGGCUGCAGCACUGCCGAGCUCAUCCGCCCCCAGAACUGCAGCUACUUCCAAAAUAACGAAGUGGACGAGGAAUCUGAGGAGGAUGAGGACUACAUUCCCUCGGAGGAUUGGAAAAAGGAGAUCAUGGUUGGCUCCAUGUACCAGGCAGAGACGCCCGCGGGGCUCUGUAAAUACAAGGAAAACGAGAGAGUGUAUGAAAAUGACGACCAGCUUCUGUGGAAUCCAGAGUUCCUUCCGGAACACACUGUGGUGGAGUUCUUAACGGAGGCGUGCCGGCGCACGGGUGAGGAGACUGGAGUGGACGCCAUUCCUGAGGGCUCGCACAUUAAAGACAAUGAGCAGGCCCUCUACGAGCUGGUGAAGUGCGACUUUGACACGGAAGAAGCCCUGCGAAGACUGCGAUUCAACGUCAAAGCCGCCAGAGAAGAGCUCUCCGUUUGGACGGAGGAAGAAUGUAGAAAUUUUGAACAAGGUCUUAAGGCUUAUGGGAAAGAUUUUCAUCUCAUUCAAGCCAACAAGGUGAGAACACGGUCUGUAGGAGAGUGUGUGGCGUUUUAUUACAUGUGGAAGAAGUCCGAGCGCUACGACUUCUUUGCACAGCAAACACGACUUGGCAAGAGGAAGUACAACCUUCACCCGGGUGUGACGGAUUAUAUGGACAGACUACUGGACGAGACCGAGAGUGCUGCGUCGAGUCGAGCGGCCACACCUCCUCCCACCACCUCCAGCAGCAACACCAGCCAUUCGGAACGGGAGGAUGGCUCCGCUCACAACGGCGUGGGCGGUCACAGCAGCGUGUCGAGCGCAGACUCCGGGCUGCUGUCAGGCAGCGAGGUGAAGAGUGACUCGCUGCAGUCGGGCCGAGCAGAGCGCCUCCUCCCUGAGCCCCACGACUCCAACGGCUGUGAGCCUAUUGCCGUCGGCAGCGGAGACAGAAACGGCGCCGUAAAACGGCCGCAGGACAGCCAAGCCAUGGACAGGCAGUCUAAAAAAUGCAGGACAGAUUCAGACCCCCUUGCCCAGGUCAACGUGGACUCCCCCAGGGUCAAGGAAGACUGAACUGCCAGUGGAGCAGAGACCAAAGGCCAGACCAAAUCCAGCAAAUGAGAGGGGGAUUUAUUUUAGCACCCUGACUGUAGGGAGUGGGACAGUCUCCCCUAGAGUCUCCUCCACAACCAAAGCAAAGCGUCCAGCUGAAGACGGCGGGGACACCACAGCCAAACUCCUACUAAUGUCGUAACCAAUUACUGCUUCAGAUUCACACCCCUCACCAUUUUACACAGAAAAUGUCUAUUCUAUUUGUAUUGGAAUUUGUCCAAUAAUUUUUUUUACUUGCAAGAUAUUUAUAUUUUUUAAUGGAACCACGCUGACAGUGGGAGUCUCCGUCAGGUCCUUUUUAGGCUGGAGGGAGGGAGGGACGGUUUGAUGUUUCUGCAGGAACGCUGAAGUUGCACUUUUGUACUGUAUGUUGGCAUCGGGCACUGCGUGGGGCUUGUUUGUGUAGAGCGUGAGGGGCGGAGAGGGCAGAGCUGCUCUGGCCAGGCCCAUGACGCCUUCAUCCAGGUUUGACAUCAGGGAUGUCUGCUACUCAUGUGUUUGCUAGCCGUGUUUUGAUGACGACAAAACAAAUCUGUUUUUGUGGGCUUUCCAACCACUCCACCAAGUCUGAGAGGCAUCUGUCUUUGGACCUAAGCUCCAGAAUUGCUAGAGAAGAAAAGCAGCAGGUGCCGUCGUCCCAUAACUACGGUAGAGAAACGCGCUCACCCCGAAAGAACGAAGGGUGCGAGUCGUACUGGAGAGCUAAUGUGGUGGUAUCUCACCGUUACAAGUUUGUUCGACAGCUUCACGACAGAAACGAAGCUUUCGGUACAAUUUCGUAGACAGAGUUACAGGUGUGUGUAUAUAAAAUGGGAUCAAGAACACUCACCCCAACACCAGUUGUCCGAUUGCAUUUAAUGCACAACCUGCAGAAAAUCUGAAAAAAUGUUCAUCUACUAGACCAGAUAGCUUUUGUUCUGAUAUUUGUAAAUGAACCUAAGAUUUAAUGCUUAAUCAUGAAUUAUCUUACAUAAUAUAUUACUCAACAAAGACACAAUGUACUGAGGUGAUCCAUACUAUUGGUGCUUCAGCUGUAAAUUAUCCACGGUGAAUAGCACUCAGCAUAUUAAGUUUUCUACAUUGCACGUGAUUAAAAUGUCCCAGUUUACAUAAUGGUCUAAAACAUUUGAGGUAAACCCUAGCACACUACUUUAGGGGGUGUUUUACUCCUUGUAUCAAUGUGUUGUUGGUGACUUGGAUCAAGGUCACCUAAUUUGUCCACAUGAAACUAUUUGUAGGUGCUCCCAUCGUGACUGCGGUAUGAACAGAUCACCCGUGCCAUAGCUGUAGGUGGUCAGACACGGAUCUUGCCAAAUGGAUGCGAGUGUAAAUGGAAUGUGUAUUCUUCAUUCAGGUACUGAAAAACGACUACUGAACUUCUCCCAUGCCCAGAGGCCACAGCUUCUCCUCAACACACACAGAUGCUUCACUGCCUGCUUUAAACUUUCU